GCCCGGGUGGCGGAAUGGUAGACGCAGCGGACUUAAAAUCCGUUGACUGAAAGGUCGUGAGGGUUCGAGUCCCUCCCCGGGCACCA
rnacentral:tRNA from 1 species